rnacentral:rRNA from 1 species
UACGUAGGGUGCGAGCGUUGUCCGGAAUUACUGGGCGUAAAGAGCUCGUAGGUGGUUUGUCGCGUUGUUCGUGAAAUCCCACGGCUUAACUGUGGGCGUGCGGGCGAUACGGGCAGACUGGAGUACUGCAGGGGAGACUGGAAUUCCUGGUGUAGCGGUGGAAUGCGCAGAUAUCAGGAAGAACACCCGUGGCUAAGGCGGCUCUCUAGUACGGUACUGACGCUGAGACGCGAAAGCGUGGGGAGCGAACAGG